rnacentral:rRNA from 1 species
AGUGAACGCUGGCGGUAGGCCUAACACAUGCAAGUCGAACGGCAGCACAGUAAGAGCUUGCUCUUACGGGUGGCGAGUGGCGGACGGGUGAGGAAUACAUCGGAAUCUACUUUUUCGUGGGGGAUAACGUAGGGAAACUUACGCUAAUACCGCAUACGACCUACGGGUGAAAGCAGGGGAUCUUCGGACCUUGCGCGAUUGAAUGAGCCGAUGUCGGAUUAGCUAGUUGGCGGGGUAAAGGCCCACCAAGGCGACGAUCCGUAGCUGGUCUGAGAGGAUGAUCAGUCACACUGGAACUGAGACACGGUCCAGACUCCUACGGGAGGCAGCAGUGGGGAAUAUUGGACAAUGGGCGAAAGCCUGAUCCAGCCAUACCGCGUGGGUGAAGAAGGCCUUCGGGUUGUAAAGCCCUUUUGUUGGGAAAGAAAAGCAGCAGGUUAAUACCCCGCUGUUUUGACGGUACCCAAAGAAUAAGCACCGGCUAACUUCGUG